UCUAGAUCACUACAACAUAUUAGCAUCUAUCCUUCUUGUUCAUCAUCCAGUAAGUGCAUAAGCUUGGUGCCUCUUUGGUAUACGCCAUAUAACUGAUGAUACCCUUUUUGGAUCUAUAAUUCCUGCAGUUAUCAAAUCCUCAUAUCUGUCUCUUGCAGGAUUGUAUCCAUAUCUUGGGUCAUCAUUUGACAGCAUGUUAUGGCAGAGCCACAAACUAGCAUGAAAAAUGGGAAAG
rnacentral:misc_RNA from 1 species